AAGAUGAUGUAUAGGGGGUGACGCCUGCCCGGUGCUGGAAGAUUAAAUGAUGGGGUGCAAGCUCUUGAUUGAAGUCCCAGUAAACGGCGGCCGUAACAAUAACGGUCCUAAGGUAGCGAAAUUCCUUGUCGGGUAAGUUCCGACCCGCACGAAAGGCGUAAUGAUUUGGGCACUGUCUCAACGAGAGACUCGGUGAAAUUAUAGUACCUGUGAAGAUGCAGGUUACCCGCGACAGGACGGAAAGACCCCAUGGAGCUUUACUGCAGUUUGAUAUUGAGUGUCUGUACCACAUGUACAGGAUAGGUAGGAGUCUAUGAGAUCGGGACGCCAGUUUCGAAGGAGACGUUGUUGGGAUACUACCCUUGUGUUAUGGCCACUCUAACCCGGAUAGGUGAUCCCUAUCGGAGACAGUGUCUGACGGGCAGUUUGACUGGGGCGGUCGCCUCCCAAAAAGUAACG
rnacentral:rRNA from 1 species